rnacentral:rRNA from 2 species
GCGUACCCAUCCCGAACACGACCGUUAAGCCCUCCAGCGCCGAUGGUACUUGGACCGAAGGGUCCUGGGAGAGUAGGACGCCGCCAAGC